AGAUUCAGGCUGUAUUUAGUGGGGGAGGGAUCUGGCCUCAUAUCCUUCAUCUUUAUGCUGCUCCACUCCAGCUCACAGCCCCUCCAACUGGAUGGAGCUCUUCGAAGGGAGGGGCAUUUCAGAGGAGGGUCUCAGGGAUAGCCCCUUUGUGGGGCUGGGCCACCAGGUUGGGGAGAGUGGAGCUGCUGGAACUCUGGAGGGACUGGCUGAGCCAGCUUUCCCAGUGCACCCCUCUGGGAGGGCAGGCUCUCGGUGUAGGCUGCCCAUCUCCUCGCUCUCCUCUGGCACUGCUCCUAUGCCCCCUUGGUUAGCCUGGGAGCCCAUACUACCCAGACUUGGGGUCAAUAAGCAGAGGACCUGUAAGGAGUCCUUGAUGGGAUGUACAGCACUGCCCAACCCUGCACAAGGUAGGGUAUUGCUGUUUGUUGUGUGGUGAGCUGCCUGCUUAUGGCUGGGUUUGGGCCUCCAUCCAUUUUUAUUUUCUUUGAGUUGGUCUCUGGGCAAAGCUUCUCCCAGCAGGCGGAAUCUGGCCUGGGGGCUCCAGCUUCUCUCACCUGCCUGGCCUCCCAAGAGCUAGAGAGCUCCACAUCUCAACUCAUCUAUAACUCAUUAGCAGAACCAUCAGCUAGCAGAAACUAGGAAUAAUAAAAAUGUGCCGUAUUUUCACAAGCUGGAUGCCAGGCUUGGUGGUCAGGACACAGACUGCUUUCAGCUCCCACAUGCCCCUCCUGCUAGCUGCUUUGUGCAGAGUAGUGGCUACAUGGCUGCAGGUGAGAGCCCUGCCUGUGAACAGGCCACCAGGAUGCUGGGACAUACGAGUUGAUAACCCAUGGGCUCCUGAGAGCAGAGAUUGUGACUUACUCAUCUUUGAUGUAGCCAAGUUCUAACAAACCUAAAUGUGCAGCCAUUUGUAAGAGAGGAUCAUGGAAUGAAUACGGGCAUUGAGUCAAGCAGUCUGUGUUCCACUGGCGGUGUGACCUGGGGCAGGCCAUUUCACCUCACUGAGCCUUAGUUUCCUCACCUGUAAAAUGUGAAAAAUAUCACCUUCCUUACCAGGCUUUUCUGAGGAUUUAAUGACAUCAUGUUCAGUGCCCAGUAUGGGUGGAUAAUACCCAGGAGUUUCCUCCUCUUCUCCUCCUAAGUUGACUUGAUGCCCCCCGCUGAAGAUCAUGGCUGAACUGGCUCAAUUCGGAUCCAGGACUCCUGGCUUUGUCUCUUCCCUAGUUGCCCACCACACCCAUGGACACCCUUAGGUAGUUUAUCCUUUUGGGACAACUGGAUUUAUUAGAAAAGGGUAUUCUGGGGUGGAAUAAGGCCCUUUUCAGUCCCCAUGGAGCCUUUUUGGAAGAUGAAGUUCUCAAACCCACAAGAGAAUUCAUAAGACGAGCACACCACCCACAGUUAGGUUUCCCUCUCAAGUGCUUUAUCUCCACGUGGGGCAAAUAGCUCUUUGUCUGCAUAUGUUAUUGGAGCUUUUGGAGUCCAGCCUUCAGAAGAGCUCUAAUUUUUGGAUUCAUAUCAGUUUAUUAGAGAAGCCUAGUUCUAAGGAUUAGCAAAUGGGUAGGUGCUCAGCCAGCCCAGAACAAGCAGAGCCAUGACAGAAGUUUCUGGAAUCUCACAGAGUCGGUGUCUUCAUGGACUCAGGGGGCCUAAAUCCAAUAGCCUGGAUUUGUCACUUUCCCUUAUUCCCUUAUCAAACUCUUCCCUUUUGGACAUCAGAGAAGGAAAGUACUUCCUGUAAGGGGGCAAUUUGCAAAGCUUCAUGGAAGUGGCAUUUGAGUGUGGCCUUAAAGGAUGUGUAGGAUUGGGAACCAUAGAUAUUUAGAGGAAGGCAUUCCUGGCAGAAGGAACAGCAGCAAAACACAGAAGUGGAAAUUAGUAGCAGCAUUAAUGGAGAAUAAUUUGGGGAAUAAGAUAUACAAAUGGAAUAAUAAAAAUAGCAUUAAUUAAACAUUGUGGGAGUCAUUCUGUAAGAUGGCCCCUGGUGA
ensembl:lncRNA FLJ42969 uncharacterized LOC441374